CCUACGGGAGGCAGCAGUGGGGAAUAUUGCGCACUGGGCGAAAGCCUGACGCAGCGACGCCGCGUGAGGGAUGAAGGUCUUCGGAUCGUUAACCUCUGUCUGCAGGGAAGUACGGUCACUUUGCUAAUCAUCAGUGAAUUGACGGUACCUGCAAAGGAAGCACCGGCUAACUCCGUGCCAGCAGCCGCGGUAAUACGGAGGGUGCGUGCGUUAAUCGGAAUUACUGGGCGUAAAGCGCUCGUAGGCGGUAUGUUAAGUCAAGGGUGAAAUCCCCGCGCUCAACGUGGGAACUGCCUUUGAAACUGGUAAACUAGAGAGUGUGAGAGGAUAGUGGAAUUGAAGGUGUAGGAGUGAAA
rnacentral:rRNA from 1 species